UACGGAGGGUGCAAGCGUUAUCCGGAUUCACUGGGUUUAAAGGGUGCGUAGGAGGGCAGGUAAGUCAGUGGUGAAAUCUUUGGGCUUAACCCGAAAACUGCCAUUGAUACUAUCUGUCUUGAAUGCGGUGGAGGUGAGCGGAAUAUGUCAUGUAGCGGUGAAAUGCUUAGAUAUGACAUAGAACACCGAUUGCGAAGGCAGCUCGCUACACCUGCAUUGACUCUGAGGCACGAAGCGUGGGGAUCAAACAGG
rnacentral:rRNA from 1 species